rnacentral:lncRNA from 1 species
UUAUCUGAAGCAAUAUCUUCAGCAUAAACUAUCCCAUAGAACUUAUCCACAUGCUCCCCGAGGUAUAAUGCUUGACCCUGAAUAUUUACAAUUGGAGACAAGUCAAAGAAAGUUGUUUAUAGAAUUGCAAUUCACAGGUUGAAAGCAUGUAAAUUCAAAAGCAUUUUAGCUACACUGAUUAGGAAGUAUCUGAUCAAAACAUAAAUGCAGAAAAUAUCUUGCAUGAUUAAACAACUCAAAAUAGAAUUUAUGGUUUAUGAAAGCUAUGAAAUGUAUCACAAGCUUGCCUUCAAAAUAAAAAAAAAAGUGAAUCGUGAGCUAUAUAUGAGGAGUUUAAUGUAUACCGCUUUUGUUACGUUGUUCCCAAGGGAUAUGAAUGUUACAAAAGUUCGAUCUAUAGAAUUGCAAUUCACAGGUUGAAAGCAUGUAAAUUCAAAAGCAUUUUUGCCACACUGAUUAGGAAGUAUCUGAUCAAAACAUAAAUGCAGAAAAUAUCUUGCAUGAUUAAACAACUCAAAAUAGAAUUUAUAGUUUAUGAAAGCUAUUAAAUGUAUCACAAGCUUGCCUUCAAAAUAAAAAAAAAGUGAAUCGUGAGCUAUAUAUGAGGAGGAGUUUAAUGUAUACCGC